ACGGAAGGCAGCAGUGGGGAAUAUUGCACAAUGGGGGAAACCCUGAUGCAGCGACGCCGCGUGAGUGAAGAAGUUAUUCGUAAUGUAAAGCUCUAUCAGCAGGGAAGAAAAAAGACGGUACCUGACUAAGAAGCCCCGGCUAACUACGUGCCAGCAGCCGCGGUAAUACGUAGGGGGCAAGCGUUAUCCGGAUUUACUGGGUGUAAAGGGAGCGCAGACGGCAUGGCAAGUCUGAAGUGAAAUGCGGGGGCUCAACCCCUGAACUGCUUUGGAAACUGUCAAGCUAGAGUGUCGGAGAGGUAAGUGGAAUUCCUAGUGUAGCGGUGAAAUGCGUAGAUAUUAGGAGGAACACCAGUGGCGAAGGCGGCUUACUGGACGAUAACUGACGUUGAGGCUCGAAAGCGUGGGGAGCAAACAGGAUUAGAUACCCUGGUA
rnacentral:rRNA from 1 species